rnacentral:rRNA from 1 species
UAUGGUGUGUGCCAGCCGCCGCGGUAAUACGGAAGGUCCGGGCGUUAUCCGGAUUUAUUGGGUUUAAAGGGAGCGUAGGCCGGAGAUUAAGCGUGUUGUGAAAUGUAGACGCUCAACGUCUGCACUGCAGCGCGAACUGGUUUCCUUGAGUACGCACAAAGUGGGCGGAAUUCGUGGUGUAGCGGUGAAAUGCUUAGAUAUCACGAAGAACUCCGAUUGCGAAGGCAGCUCACUGGAGCGCAACUGACGCUGAAGCUCGAAAGUGCGGGUAUCGAACAGG